rnacentral:rRNA from 1 species
UACGUAGGUGACAAGCGUUGUCCGGAUUUACUGGGCGUAAAGAGCGCGCAGGCGGUCGAUCAAGUCGAGUGUGAAAGCCCCCGGCUCAACUGGGGAGGGUCAUUCGAUACUGAUCGACUCGAAGGCAGGAGAGGGUAGUGGAAUUCCCGGUGUAGUGGUGAAAUGCGUAGAUAUCGGGAGGAACACCAGUGGCGAAGGCGACUACCUGGCCUGUUCUUGACGCUGAGGCGCGAAAGCUAGGGGAGCA